rnacentral:misc_RNA from 1 species
UCUAAGUAAGGUUCCAGAGGAAUUUGUUCGUCAGCAUCCAACUAAUGGAAAUCCUCCAACACUAUUUUUGGUUAUAAGUGACCUACUUCAUGGCAUACAGAAAAAUAAGUUUACCUCUUCUGAAAGCAAUAAGAUCAUUUCUUUCCUAGAGCGGGCUUUUGUUCGUCUUGAUGCUUGGUUCCAGUGGUUAAAUACUACCCAGUCAGGGAAGGAGAUUGGCAGCUAUUU